rnacentral:rRNA from 1 species
UGCUUAACACAUGCAAGUCGAACGGAAAGGCCCUUUUUUUGUGGGGUGCUCGAGUGGCGAACGGGUGAGUAACACGUGAGUAACCUGCCCUUGACUUUGGGAUAACUUCAGGAAACUGGGGCUAAUACCGGAUAGGAGCUCCUGCUGCAUGGUGGGGGUUGGAAAGUUUCGGCGGUUGGGGAUGGACUCGCGGCUUAUCAGCUUGUUGGUGGGGUAGUGGCUUACCAAGGCUUUGACGGGUAGCCGGCCUGAGAGGGUGACCGGCCACAUUGGGACUGAGAUACGGCCCAGACUCCUACGGGAGGCAGCAGUGGGGAAUAUUGCACAAUGGGCGGAAGCCUGAUGCAGCAACGCCGCGUGCGGGAUGACGGCCUUCGGGUUGUAAACCGCUUUCGCCUGUGACGAAGCGUGAGUGACGGUAAUGGGUAAAGAAGCACCGGCUAACUACGUGCCAGCAGCCGCGGUGAUACGUAGGGUGCGAGCGUUGUCCGGAUUUAUUGGGCGUAAAGGGCUCGUAGGUGGUUGAUCGCGUCGGAAGUGUAAUCUUGGGGCUUAACCCUGAGCGUGCUUUCGAUACGGGUUGACUUGAGGAAGGUAGGGGAGAAUGGAAUUCCUGGUGGAGCGGUGGAAUGCGCAGAUAUCAGGAGGAACACCAGUGGCGAAGGCGGUUCUCUGGGCCUUUCCUGACGCUGAGGAGCGAAAGCGUGGGGAGCGAACAGGCUUAGAUACCCUGGUAGUCCACGCUGUAAACGGUGGGUACUAGGUGUGGGGUCCAUUCCACGGGUUCCGUGCCGUAGCUAACGCUUUAAGUACCCCGCCUGGGGAGUACGGCCGCAAGGCUAAAACUCAAAGGAAUUGACGGGGCCCCGCACAAGCGGCGGAGCAUGCGGAUUAAUUCGAUGCAACGCGUAGAACCUUACCUGGGUUUGACAUGGAUCGGGAGUGCUCAGAGAUGGGUGUGCCUCUUUUGGGGUCGGUUCACAGGUGGUGCAUGGCUGUCGUCAGCUCGUGUCGUGAGAUGUUGGGUUAAGUCCCGCAACGAGCGCAACCCUUGUUCACUGUUGCCAGCACGUUAUGGUGGGGACUCAGUGGAGACCGCCGGGGUCAACUCGGAGGAAGGUGGGGAUGACGUCAAGUCAUCAUGCCCCUUAUGUCCAGGGCUUCACGCAUGCUACAAUGGCUGGUACAGAGAGUGGCGAGCCUGUGAGGGUGAGCGAAUCUCGGAAAGCCGGUCUCAGUUCGGAUUGGGGUCUGCAACUCGACCUCAUGAAGUCGGAGUCGCUAGUAAUCGCAGAUCAGCAACGCUGCGGUGAAUACGUUCCCGGGGCUUGUACACACCGCCCGUCAAGUCAUGAAAGUUGGUAACACCCGAAGCCGGUGGCCUAACCGUUGUGGGGGAGCCGUCGAAGGUGGGACUGGUGAUUAGGACUAA